rfam:Ferroplasma sp. Type II genomic scaffold AMDT4_FER2S00095, whole genome shotgun sequence.
GGGGCUGUAGCUUAGCUUGGUUGGAGCACCCGGCUGAUAACCGGGAGGUCACCGGUUCAAAUCCGGUCAGCCCCA